rnacentral:lncRNA from 1 species
UCCCUGGAGGCAGCCUCUAUCUCUAGUGGCACCCCAAAAUAGAAGACCCUUUUCUUAUUAUUGAUGACUGAUUUCAGUUCUUUUGUGACCCAAGGCUUAUUAUUUGGGUAAGUAGUCACCUUCCUAGUUGGAAUAACCAGGUCCACACAAAAAGUAAUGUAAAAGGAUAUUGUCUCUGUAAGUUCGUUCACAUCCUCACAUGCAUCGUAAAAGCACUGACUCGAAGCAUGCUUGAAGAGAGGAAAUGCUGCUUUCUGACCACUUUUUUACCGUCUUUUCCCCAUGUUUGAGGUGCUGAAAGCGAGGAAUGUACAGGGGAAUGAGAAAAACACUGUUGUGAUUAGAAGCACCAAAAGGCAGCAUAGGCAGAGACUUAUAAGCUUCACUGACUGAGCCAUAACACAGAUCCAGUGUCGUGUUCUUCCUAGCACAGGUGACAUAUUGAUCAUAAGUUCUCAGAGUUUUGUUAAGUUUACAAUGAUUAAAAUCCCCAAGGAUAAAUUUGGGUGCAUCUGGGCAUAUCGAGUCCAGAUAUUGCGUGACGUCAGCAAUCAGCUGGGCAGCAGCUGAUGCAUUGGCUUGUGGAUGAAUGUACACUAAAGUGAAAAACAGUUGUUGGAAUUCACGAGGCAGAUAGAAGGGGUGGAAAGAGAUAGACAGUAGCUCCAUAUCUGCCGAACAUAUCCUCCUCCUGACCACAACGAUUUUACAGUACCUUUGGUUUAUGUAGAAAAAUACUCCUCCUCCACGACUCUUCCCGGUGGCCUCCCGGGACUGGUCCGGCCGAAUAGGGCAUCCAAACCCACUUAGCUCCAGGUCUGAGUCCAGGAUCGAUUCGCUGAGCCAUGUUUCCGUAAAAACAAGGAGACAUGUGUCUUUUAUUUCCUUUUCAAACUUGGUGCUUGCCUCCAGUUCAUCUAUUUUGUGCCGGAUAGACUGCACAUUUGACAGCAGGACAGUGGGAAGAGGCGCAAGCUUACGGCAGCUAUGAAACCGGAGAUUCUUCAGUCUACGGCGAAUUCCACCUCUUCUUCCCCGUUUCCUACCCUCCUUAGAUGGCUUACGAAGCUCUGCUGGAAUGUGUGCAGGAACAUCGCCGGCUGUAGACAUUCGUAGAGAAAGGAGAAGCUCCCGGCUGACGGAGACUCUACCUGUCAUGCCGUGUUCCUUCACAGUGUGACAUACGGAAGAAUGAAAGAGUAGCACUGACACACAAAACAGUGCAAAAACCUUAACCAUAGUCCUUGAAAUCUGCUUCUCUGAAGCACCGACAGGCUCACUCACACAUCUGAUUCAAAGAAAAACAAAUAAGUUAAAAUACUGGCAAAACACCAUAACUAAGACGUCUGGGUAUCCUGCUGGGUCGCACAGCGUGGAGAGCCCCACCCCUAUGUUGUUUUAAGUGAUUGCACCUGCAUUCUCUUUGUGGCAAAAUUAUGUUUAACGUCGGUGUGACACCUUGGCUGACUGUGUGCCUCCUAGGCAGUCUAAUCACUGAGAUGUGGAGCUUACACGGAAAAGUUGGCAUCCUUACAAACACACGGGAUCAGCUGUUGUCUCUUAGGCACCCUGUCAUAACAACAUGGGGCUCUGGCUUGGAUCCUGUGGAAGUAUGUGAGCAUCACUGGAACGCGAAUACAGACGAAAAUAAAGAAAAGAGGCUCCCAAGGUGGAGUGAGGGAGAGAAUAAGGAGACAAGGCAGCAGGCAACCCUUGCCAGUAAUAUCUCUUUCCAAUGUUUGCUCCUUGAGCAACAAAAUGCAUGAACUACUCGCCAAAGUCAAUAAUGACAACGAGUUUAGACAGAGCAACCUCAUCUGUUUUACGGAGAGUUGGUUGAGAGACGAUGUCAUACCCAAAUCUGCCGGGUUACACAUUGAUACGUGCUGACAGGGACACUAAAAUGUCACGCAAAUUGAUCGGCAGUGGUUUGUGUGUCUAUGUGGAUGAAUACUGGGCUACUCAGUACACUGUUCGGGAACGCAAAUGUACGCGUGACUAUGAAAUACUGGUGGUCUCAUUUCAUCCUUUCUACAGUCCUAGAGAGUUUGGCCAGAUCACCAUUAUACUGGCCUUUGUACCAGGGCCAGACUUCAAGGGAACUGCAGCCAGGAUAGCAGAGAGCUACAAUGCUGCUCUGUCCCGCACAGUUAACCUCGGGGACUUAAACUCCUAUGACCUGUUGGACCAUCUGCCUACUUUACAUCAGUACAUGGACUGUCCUACCCGCCUUGCACGCACCCUGGAGAAGUGCUAUGGUAACCUACCCAACACAUAUAAAUCCACCUGCAGGCCUGCCUUGGGGAAGUCUGACCAUAAUGUUAUACAUCUACUUCCAUGCUACAGGGCUUUGCUGAAAAUAGAAAAGACAGUAACUAAGGAAAUUGUGACCUGGACAGAUGACUGCAGGGAGGAAAUGAAAUGCGAACUGGAAACAACUGACUGGCUAUUUCUGAACUUGUGUGAUACACCUCAUGAAUCAAUUGACACUUUUACAGCCUAUCUAUAGUUUAAUGAAAGUAAAAUCAAGAGAACUAAAAUGGUUAAAAUAUUUCCCAAUAACAAUGUAUGGAUGUCUAGUGAUCUGAGGAAAUGCACUAGAGAGAAAAAACAUGCUUUUAAAAGUUAAAAUACUGAGUUAGUUAGUAAAACCAAGUUAGUCAGAGAAAAGAGAUGUGAAUUAAGAACCAAAUUGAGAAAGGCAAAAACAGAAUAUAAGGAUAAAGUUGAGCACCACUACUUCUCAGGAAAUGCCAAGAAGGCUUGGGAAGGUUUUAACGUGAUGAUGGGAAGGGACACUAAGCACAAGCGUACCCC